GGGGGUGUAGUGCAGUGAUAGAGCACUUGCUCUGAAUGUCCAAGGCCUGGGUUCAAUUCCCAGCACCACAA
rnacentral:tRNA from 1 species